AAGAACAAAAGGUAUUUUAAUAACCGAGCAGCUGCGGCAUUCUUCGUUUUGCCGCAUGUUGCUGUGUGAAGGAAGCCCCACAAACUUUUGGUAGAUCAAUUCUUCAUUUCUUUAGGAACGUAGAUUGUUCUACCGACAGAGGUUGAUGGUUCUAUAUGGAUAAAGUACUGCGUUUUUUAAAGUAUCCCCCUGCAGAAUCCUACCAUUAAAUGGUCAGCAUUUCCACAACCUAAAUUAAUGGCAUGGCUAAACCUGACCACAAUUAAAGGUUACCCGCAUCAAAUGUCUGUUUUACAGGCAUGGCUAACCAUUGCCGUCAUUUUAAGUUUACCCUCAGCAAGUGCCUUUUUCAUGAAUAUACACACAACGCAAAAAAAAAAAAAGAACUUAAAACUGGGCUCAAUUAUUAAGGUGAUUAAAGGCUUCCACGAUGCAAAAAUAUGCCUCUCCUAAGUACCCGUCACGCAAAAUUUUUUUUUGCUUGGGACUUAGAAUUUGGUGGUUCCGCAACAAAAUAUAUAUGGGAGCUAUAUCGAAAUCUGUACAGAUUUCAAUAUAAUUUUCAAAUUUAUUUUUGUACCAAAUUUGAUUAAAAUUUGAGAUAUAAAGCGUGUUUGGUGCAUCAAAUAUAUACGAAAUCGGCCUUAAAUAUAUAUGAACGCUAUAUCCAAA